GCUAGUGUGGUGUAGUGGUUUGAGUGCUGGACUAUGACUCAGGAGACCAGAGUUCGAAUCCCUCUUCAGCC